AGGCCAGAGGACUAAAGGCGAAACCACAGCCAGGGAACUCAUUGAAAACACUGAGAAAUGUGAGCAAGUUGAGCCCGAAGGACCACAUAUGGACCCCAAAGAGAAGCCCAAGGACAACAACAUCUUGUAUGCCUCCAUUACCCUCUCAAGCCCGACCUCCCCAGGAACACCAGGCUGCCCGCCUGUCCAUGAGAACCCCCAGGAAGAGACUGUAUACUCCAUCGUAAAGACCAAAUGAGCGGGUCUGGGUGACCAUCUCAGAGUCACCUUUGCUUCUAGUAGGAAGACUCCCAGUUUCCACUGAUACCCACAGUCAGACGCUCACAGGUCACAGAUACCCAUGGCCAGGACAGAAAUUCACACGUCAGGGAAUUUGAACUCAGAGAAACUGAGAAACUCUCACUUCCCCUUUCUAACUUCCGAGGCCUUUCUCACAAAAAUAAAAAGAUCCACAGAAUUUAUCUAAAUUCAUUGAACUAAGGAUUGUUGGGGAAUAUUAUUUUCAGGUGUGUGACUUUCGUUUACCCUGUAUUUGUUUAACUUUUGAAGCUAUGUUACUGUGCCUGUCUAAAACACCUGAUGGUCUUAGUAGAUGAACCAUCAACAGUGAAGGAUAGGCGGGGCUGAGGCAGAGAAUACAGAUAGAAGGAGAAAUCUGGGAGGAAAUAAGAAGAGCGAGAGAACAAGGAGAGGAGGACAUUGGAGUCAGCCACCCAGCUACACACAGCAAAUCACAGAGAAAGAAGUAAAGAAAGGUAUACAGAAAUAGAGAAAGAUAAAAUCCCAGCGGCAAAAGGUAGUCAGCAUAAUUUAAGUUAAGGAAACCUGGCAAGAAACAAGCCAAGCUGAGGCCGGACAUUUAUAACUAAGAAUAAGCCUCUGCGUGUGAUUUAUUUGGGAGCUGGGUGGUGGGCCCUUCAAAAAGUCAAAAGAGUAAAAUGUCACACAACAAAGGAUCAUUAGUGUGACCCUUCUUGCCCCCUAAGACCCUCUUCUCUAUCACUUUUAUCAAGCGGCCCUGGGAAGGGAAUGCCCCAAAUGCUGGCAGCCAGUCUACAUAUGUUAUGCCCAAAGUUUGGAUCCCCAAAAUACCACCAUGAGAUUGAAUGUAAUGCACAAACAAAGAGACUUUAUUGUGAGUUAACUCUGGCCUCUCAGUCCGUCUGAAGCAGCAGGAGCAGAAGAAGGAGAAGAAGAAAAGAAGAAGGAAGGAGGAGGAAGAAGAGGAGGGAGAAAAGGAAGAAGAAAAAAAGAAGAGAGGACAAAGGAGGAAAAAGAAGGAGGAGGAGGAGGAGGAGGAGGAAGAAAAAGGAGGAGGAGAAGGAAAAGGAGGAGGAGAAGGAGGGACCCUGAGCAGUGCUGGGAGGGUCUUUUGAUGUUUUGGUAGUGGCCAGGCUAAGAGGGGAAGGCUUAGGGAAUCCCAAACCUGCAAAGUCACAGACAAGGGAUUGACUGCUUUCCAGGGAUGAGGUGUUGCCUGCUUCUGAUUGGCCCUUCCCAUUAGGGGAGGAGUCCUUGGUGUG